GGAUCCUUACAGUCUAAACAACUAGAAAGCUCCUCAACUUCAAGCAGAACUUGAAAUGGUAUAUGCCAAAAUUUUCUUCUAGGGUGCUAAACUAAGGGUAGCGAAGAGAAACUACUAUCCACAAAAUUUUUAAAAUUCUACUGUCUUGAGUACAAUUAUUUGAAGCCCUUUCAUAUUAAAGACCCCAAACAAAUUACAUAGAUUAGGGAAAACUUCAAGAUAGACGGUUAGACAAGAAAAUGAAUCACCUUCACCUUCAGAGAACAUAAAUAAACAAAAUAAAACCAUGGCACUUGCAAAG
rnacentral:misc_RNA from 1 species